rnacentral:lncRNA from 1 species
AUGUGACAAUGGAAACGAGAAAAAUGAAGAGAAAGGGCGGAAGGAGGGAGAGGGAAAAAAAGAAUGGAAGGAGGAGACAGUGAGGGGAAAAGAAAACAAUUUUUUAUUUAAAAAUAAUUCAGAAAAAAAUAUUCAUAAUUUUAAUAGUAAGUAUGAUUCAAAUAUCACACACAAAUUUAAUAAUAUAAACAAGUCAAGUAAUAUAGAAAUAAAUGAAAAAGAAUAUACCCAUUAUAAUUUUACAACAAAUGAUUCAAAUAUAAAUAAUAUUAAUAUAAACAAUAUUAAUAUAAACAAUAUUAAUAGUAAUAAUAUUAAUAGUAAUAACAUUAAUAAUAAUAUUAAUAGUAAUAAUAUUAAUAAUAUUAAUAGUAAUAAUAAUAAUAGUAAUAAUAUUAAUAAUAGUAAUAAUAUUAAUAGUAAUAAUAAUAAUAGUAAUAAUAUUAAUAAUAGUAAUAAUAUUAAUAAUAGUAAUAAUAUUAAUAAUAUUAAUAAUAUUAAUAGUAAUAAUAAUAAUAAUAAUAUAAACAAUAUUAAUAGUAAUAAUAAUAUAAACAAUAUUAAUAGUAAUAAUAAUAUUAAUAGUAAUAAUAUUAAUAAUAUUAAUAGUAAUAAUAAUAUAAACAAUAUUAAUAGUAAUAAUAAUAUAAACAAUAUUAAUAGUAAUAAUAAUAUGAACAUAAACAGUGAUGUCCAUAAUAAUUUAGAAAAAAAUAUAUACAUUGAAACAGAACAUAAAGAUAAGAACGUAAAUAAUUCACAUGAAGAGAAGUAUACAUAUGGAAAAAGUAAUUUCCUACGUAAUAUAAUUUCACAUUCUUUAAAUAAUAAUUUAUUAAAAAAUAAAAACACAAGAAAUAAUAACAUGAAUAGUAAUAAUAGUAUAAAGAGGAAACAAGUAAUGGAUAAUAAAUUUAUCAAUAGCUCAAAUAAAGGAAAACAUAUAAAUACAUAUUUAAAUACAUAUUUAAAUACAUAUUUAAAUACAUAUAAUGCAAAUAAUAUAAUUAAGCAUUUAAAUAAUUUAAAAAAAUAUAAAAACUUACAAAAUAUGUAUUUAAAAAAAAANNNNNNNNNNUUUUUUUUUCCGUAUCGAAUAUUAUUCCUUUUAUGUAAAUAUAUACCUUCCUUUUUUUUGAGAUCCCCACUUAAAUCUGCAUUUUUUUUUUGUUUUUGAUAUGUAUUGUAUUACAUUUUCUUUUCGUAAAUCUGUUAUGACACUUGUGUUAUGUCUAAUCAAUUUGUUUAUUAAGUUUUCUCGUUUUUUAAUCAAACUGUUCCCAACAAGAUAUGGAUCCGUUCUAUUACUGGGAUACUCUUCUUUUUUACUAUCUUUGUAUAUCCACUUUUUUAUAUUUUUAUAAUUUCUUGUUUCGUAUAUAUCUUUAGAGUUCCAAAAAUCUUGAAUAAUUUUCUGUCUAAAAAGAAAAAAAAAAAAAUAAAUAAAAAUAAAUCUCAAUAAAAAAGUCUCA